GACGAACCACACAAACGUUAUUCGGAAUUACUGGGCUUAAAGGGUGCGUAGGCGGCGCGGAAAGUUGGGUGUGAAAUCCCUCGGCUCAACCGAGGAACUGCGCUCAAUACUACCGUGCUCGAGGGAGACAGAGGUGAGCGGAACUUAGGGUGGAGCGGUGAAAUGCGUUGAUAUCCUAAAGGAACACCCGUGGCGAAAGCGGCUCACUGGGUCUCUUCUGACGCUGAGGCACGGAAAGCUAGGGUAGCGAACGGG
rnacentral:rRNA from 1 species